rnacentral:tRNA from 1 species
GCCGAUUUAGCUCAGUUGGUAGAGCACCGCACUCGUAACGCGAAGGUCACAGGUUCAAACCCUGCAAUCGGCA